UCUCCUCGCGACGAGUACAAGCCACUGGAUCUGUCCGAUUCCACAUUGUCUUACACUGAAACGGAGGCUACCAACUCCCUCAUCACUGCUCCGGGUGAAUUCUCAGCAGAUGCUGGGAUAGGAAGCCGAGGGAACCGUGGUUUGGAGUCCUCUGUCCCCUGCAGUUAGAAGCUGGUCAUAGGGACCCCUACAUCCGGAGGAAUACCUGAAUCAAACUUUCCUUGAGAAAUGAGAGGUUGGUGUUGGACUGGGGACAUCGAGGGCCAGGACCAAGGUCUGUGGGGCCCUUUGGGAGCAUGGCUGGUGGCAUGGUGGCCUGGUGGCAUGCUGGCUGGGACUGACAGCCCCUCAGGCUGGGGCUGCAUACCUUGUGGGCAUGUCUGGAUGGCUGUGUGUCUCCAUCUGAGACAUUCUUCCCUCACCCCACAUCCAUGCCAUGGUAGCAGUCGCCAAAAUCAUAGCCAUUUAUUGAGUGUAUGCUAUGGCCGGCACUCCACUUGGCCGCUUUAUAUGCAUUCUCUUGGGACAGCCAUGGGCUGUUUGUCUCCAGGGUUUGUGCUCUUCAUCACUGUUUUGUCCCCCACUUUUCUGCAAGGGCCAAAUGUACCUUCAAUAAAUGUAUUUCCCCUAAA
rnacentral:lncRNA from 1 species